rnacentral:tRNA from 1 species
CGGGGCGUAGCGCAGCCCGGUAGCGCACUUGACUGGGGGUCAAGGGGUCGCAGGUUCGAGUCCUGUCGCCCCGACCA